rnacentral:rRNA from 1 species
UCGGGAAUUUUGGGCAAUGGGCGAAAGCCUGACCCAGCAACGCCGCGUGAAGGAUGAAGUAUUUCGGUAUGUAAACUUCGAAAGAAUAGGAAGAAUAAAUGACGGUACUAUUUAUAAGGUCCGGCUAACUACGUGCCAGCAGCCGCGGUAAUACGUAGGGACCAAGCGUUGUUCGGAUUUACUGGGCGUAAAGGGCGCGUAGGCGGCAAUUCAAGUCAUCUGUGAAAUCUCCGGGCUUAACUCGGAGCGGUCAGAUGAUACUGCUUUGCUAGAGUGCAGAAGGGGCAAUCGGAAUUCUUGGUGUAGCGGUGAAAUGCGUAGAUAUCAAGAGGAACACCUGAGGUGAAGACGGGUUGCUGGGCUGACACUGACGCUGAGGCGCGAAAGCCAGGGGAGCAAACGGGAUUAGAUACCCCGGUAGUCCCUGAGCGGGCUGGCAAGGCGCAU